GACGAGCCUCACAAACGUUAUUCGGAAUUACUGGGCGUAAAGCGUGCGCAGGCGGUUUCUUAAGUCAGAUGUGAAAGCCCCGGGCUUAACCUGGGAACUGCGUUUGAAACUGGGAGACUUGAGUGUGGCAGAGGGGGGUGGAAUUCCACGUGUAGCAGUGAAAUGCGUAGAUAUGUGGAGGAACACCGAUGGCGAAGGCAGCCCCCUGGGUUAACACUGACGCUCAUGCACGAAAGCGUGGGGAGCAAACAGG
rnacentral:rRNA from 1 species